UGAGUAACACGUGGGUAACCUGCCCAUCAGAAGGGGAUAACACUUGGAAACAGGUGCUAAUACCGUAUAACAAUCAAAACCGCAUGGUUUUGAUUUGAAAGGCGCUUUCGGGUGUCGCUGAUGGAUGGACCCGCGGUGCAUUAGCUAGUUGGUGAGGUAACGGCUCACCAAGGCCACGAUGCAUAGCCGACCUGAGAGGGUGAUCGGCCACAUUGGGACUGAGACACGGCCCAAACUCCUACGGGAGGCAGCAGUAGGGAAUCUUCGGCAAUGGACGAAAGUCUGACCGAGCAACGCCGCGUGAGUGAAGAAGGUUUUCGGAUCGUAAAACUCUGUUGUUAGAGAAGAACAAGGAUGAGAGUAACUGUUCAUCCCUUGACGGUAUCUAACCAGAAAGCCACGGCUAACUACGUGCCAGCAGCCGCGGUAAUACGUAGGUGGCAAGCGUUGUCCGGAUUUAUUGGGCGUAAAGCGAGCGCAGGCGGUUUCUUAAGUCUGAUGUGAAAGCCCCCGGCUCAACCGGGGAGGGUCAUUGGAAACUGGGAGACUUGAGUGCAGAAGAGGAGAGUGGAAUUCCAUGUGUAGCGGUGAAAUGCGUAGAUAUAUGGAGGAACACCAGUGGCGAAGGCGGCUCUCUGGUCUGUAACUGACGCUGAGGCUCGAAAGCGUGGGGAGCAAACAGGAUUAGAUACCCUGGUAGUCCACGCCGUAAACGAUGAGUGCUAAGUGUUGGAGGGUUUCCGCCCUUCAGUGCUGCAGCUAACGCAUUAAGCACUCCGCCUGGGGAGUACGACCGCAAGGUUGAAACUCAAAGGAAUUGACGGGGGCCCGCACAAGCGGUGGAGCAUGUGGUUUAAUUCG
rnacentral:rRNA from 1 species